CGGACACAUCACGUUGAAACACCGGUUCCCGUACAAAUACCAAAGUUAAGCCACGUCGAGCCUGAUCAGUACCUAGAUGAGUGACCGCUUGCGAAUACCAGGUGAUGUAAG